GACGAACGCUGGCGGCGCGCUUAACACAUGCAAGUCGAACGGAAAGGCCUGCUUUCCCUUGUGGAUUGCGGGUACUCGAGUGGCGAACGGGUGAGUAACACGUGAGUGAUCUGCCCCCAACUUGGGUAUAAGCCUGGGAAACUGGGUCUAAUUCCCGAUAGGACUGCAGGGUGGUGCCUGUGGUGGAAAACGAUUUUCUAGUGGUUGGGGAUGAGCUCGCGGCCUAUCAGCUUGUUGGUGGGGUAAUGGCCUACCAAGGCGGCGACGGGUAGCCGGCCGGAGAGGGUGGACGGCCGCAUUGGGACUGAGAUACGGCCCAGACUCCUACGGGAGGCAGCAGUGGGGAAUAUUGCACAAUGAGCGGAAGCCUGAUGCAGCGACGCCGCGUGGGGGAUGACGGCCUUCGGGUUGUAAACUCCUUUCGACCGCGAGGAAGCCACCUGGUUGGAAGGGUGGUGACGGUAGUGGUAGAAGAAGCACCGGCUAACUACGUG
rnacentral:rRNA from 1 species